UUAAGCUUAAAAUUUGUAUGCUCAAUUUAACAAGCUGAUUGAUCAAUAUAUACUUUAUAUAUAAAUAUUACCUUAUGAUUCCUUCACAUUUUAGAAAAUAUGAUAGUUAUAUACUACUAUGUAUUACAAAUGCACCAAGCCAUCAUGUGCGGGUAAAGGGAUAUUUAAAAACAAUAUCUUUAAUGUAUCCAAACAAUGCACUGCUCUUGCCUGCUUAGAAAGUUUAUCUAAAAUAUUUUCUCCAGCAUCAUUUGAGACCAUAACCAACCCAGAAUAUAUUGCUAAUAUGCUAUCUUGUUAACCUGGAAAUUUUCUUCUUAGAAUAUAUUGCUAAUAUGCUAUCUUGUUAACCUGGAAAUUUUCUUCUUAGCAUCAAUUGAUAUAAUCCAUUCAGGAACUCCAACUAAUCAAGCAUCACUUGAUAUAAUCCAUUCAGAAACUCCAACCAACCAAACAUUACUUGAUAUAAUCCAUUCAGGAACUCCAACCAACCAAAGAAAAUUUAAAAUAUGCUAUCUUGUUAACCUGGAAAUUUUAAUCUUAGCAUCAUUUAUAAUCCAUUCAGGAACAAUUAAUUUUUUUAAAGCAAAAUGCCCAAUAUAAAUUUAUAAAAUCUAAAUUUAAUAAAAAUCUACUAUUUUCUAAUAAUUAUAUAUAUUCUCAAAAUAGAGAAAACUAUUAUAUGCAUACAUAGAUAUUUAUUAAUUAUUAGGUUUUUACCUAAAAAUUCACAUCACUCUUUAUCAAUAUUAUGAUCAUGCUGUCAAAAUUUUCAUUUUUUAAUGCUUUUUAUGCCAAAUUUACACCAUUUUAUAUAAUAUUGAUAUGCAAAAGGUAAUUACCCUAAUUUUAUAUAUUACUAUUGAAAUACAAAUUGCAAUCAUUAUUUUAUAUACCACCUAUUGAUAUACAAAUUGUAAUCAUCAUUUUAUAUACAAUUAAUAUUCAAUUGCAAUAUAUACAAAUUUUUAUACACCACUAUCAAUAUACAGUCUUAAUAAAUAUAAUUUUAUAAUUGAUAUGCAAAUUGCAAUCUUUAUUUUAUAUACCUUCAUCAAUAUAUAGUCUCAAUAAAUAUAAAUUUAUAUACUAUUGAUAUAUAAAUUGCAAUCAUUAUUUUAUAUAGCAUUAUUAUA